rnacentral:tRNA from 1 species
GGAGUUGUGGCUCAGUAGUAGAGCACUUGCCUUAGCAAGUAUUAGGCACUGGGUUCGAUCCUCAGCACCA